rnacentral:rRNA from 1 species
AUUGAACGCUGGCGGCAGGCCUAACACAUGCAAGUCGAGCGGCAGCGGGAAAGUAGCUUGCUACUUUUGCCGGCGAGCGGCGGACGGGUGAGUAAUGCCUGGGAAAUUGCCCAGUCGAGGGGGAUAACAGUUGGAAACGACUGCUAAUACCGCAUACGUCCUACGGGGGGAAGCAGGGGACCUUCGGGCCUUGCGCGAUUGGAUCUGCCCAGGUGGGAUUAGCUAGUGUGUGAGGUAAUGGCGCACCAAGGCGACGAUCCCUAGCUGGUGUGAGAGGAUGAUCAGCCACACUGGAACUGGGACACGGUCCAGACUCCUACGGGAGGCAGCAGUGGGGAAUAUUGCACAAUGGGGGAAACCCUGAUGCAGCCAUGCCGCGUGUGUGAAGAAGGCCUUCGGGUUGUAAAGCACUUUCAGCGAGGAGGAAAGGUUGAUGCCUAAUACGUAUCAACUGUGACGUUACUCGCAGAAGAAGCACCGGCUAACUCCGUGCCAGCCGCCGCAGUAACAC